rnacentral:rRNA from 1 species
CUACGGGUCGCUGCAGUGAGGAAUAUUGCACAAUGGGGGGAACCCUGAUGCAGCAACGCCGCGUGGAGGAUGACGCAUUUCGGUGUGUAAACUCCUUUUAUAUGUCAAGAAAAUGACGGUAGCAUAUGAAUAAGCACCGCGCUAACUCCGUGCCAGCAGCCGCGGUAAUACGGAGGGUGCAAGCGUUACUCGGAAUCACUGGGCGUAAAGGACGCGUAGGCGGGUUGGAAAGUCAGGUGUGAAAUCCUACAGCUUAACUGUAGAACUGCACUUGAAACUUCUAAUCUAGAGUAUGGGAGGGGGAGAUGGAAUUCGUGGUGUAGGGGUAAAAUCCGUAGAUAUCACUAGGAAUACCUAAAGCGAAGGCGAUCUCCUGGAACAUUACUGACGCUAAGGCGUGAAAGCGUGGGGAGCAAACAGGAUUAGAUACCCUAGUAGUC